rnacentral:rRNA from 1 species
UACGUAGGUGGCAAGCGUUGUCCGGAUUUACUGGGCGUAAAGGAUGCGUAGGCGGACAUUUAAGUCAGAUGUGAAAUACCCGAGCUUAACUUGGGUGCUGCAUUUGAAACUGGGUGUCUAGAGUGCAGGAGAGGUAAGUGGAAUUCCUAGUGUAGCGGUGAAAUGCGUAGAGAUUAGGAAGAACACCAGUGGCGAAGGCGACUUACGUGGACUGUAACUGACGCUGAGGCAUGAAAGCGUGGGGAGCAAACAGG